rnacentral:lncRNA from 1 species
GAUUAGGUCACCCGAAGAGUCUCAAUCAACUAGGACUCUUCCUAAUUGAUUUUUCAAUUAAAUUCUUUAAAUUUUGAUGAGUCCAUAAGUCAAUAUUGAUGUCUAGCAAUAUAUCAUGUCUACCCAAAAGAUAUAAAAUUUUAGUAAAAAAUUAUCAAAAUAUCCUUCAGUGGUAAGUUACCAUGUAAUUCAAUCUUUCAGUCAGGCAACAUCCCAGAUGAGCUGUGGGCAUCAAAAUAUGUCAA